rnacentral:rRNA from 1 species
GAUGAACGCUGACAGAAUGCUUAACACAUGCAAGUCUACUUGAUUCUACUUCGGUAGUUGAUGGUGGCGGACGGGUGAGUAACGCGUAAAGAAUCUGCCCUUUAGUUCGGGAUAACCUUUGGAAACGAAGGAUAAUACCGGAUAUUAUGGAGACGUCGCAUGACGAUUUCAUGAAAGCUAUAUGCGCUAGAGGAGGACUUUGCGUCCCAUUAGUUAGUUGGUGAGGUAAUGGCUCACCAAGACCGCGAUGGGUAGCCGGCCUGAGAGGGUGAUCGGCCACAAGGGAACUGAGACACGGUCCUUACUCCUACGGGAGGCAGCAGUGGGGGAUAUUGGACAAUGGGCCACAAGCCUGAUCCAGCAAUUCUGUGUGCACGAUGAAGGUCUUCGGAUUGUAAAGUGCUUUCAGUAGGGAAGAAAAAAAUGACGGUACCUACAGAAGAAGCGACGGCUAAAUAUGUGCCAGCCGCCGCGGUAACAC